GGCCGCCCCCGGCGCGGCGCCCCCUCCCCACCAGAGCGGCCGCCGUGGGCCAGAAGCGGGAGACAGGGCGGCGCUCCUGGGCGAGGUUAUCAGCUGACAAUGGGAGCACGCCUGUUCGACAGCUUUUGGAACAUUUCCUCCAGCGACUCCAGAUGUACCCAUGGCUCUCCAAGGAGCCCACUCUGGGGGACAUGUGAGGUGCCAUCUUUCUUUUCUGAGGGGUCAACCCCACCCACUCCCCUGCAAGCUGUGGAGCAGACACCUUUUCCCAUCCCGGCCCUGGGUAGACAGACAUGGUGGACCGUGGGAGACAGGGUUCAAAGGCAUGCAGCAGAGCAGGAGGGCUUCAGACCCCUCUGUUCCGUCCACCCAGACACGGGAAGGCCACGUGGAGUGUCAGGGAUGCCGUGAACGUGUGUGUCAAGGCCGGAGCCACAACACUGUUGGUGGACCUUCUGCUGUAGCCAAGAUACCUGUCCCUCUCUUAAAGGUUCAUCUGUGUUCAGUAGAGAUACCUUUUCGUGGAUAUUUUGCUUUUCCUGAGAUGGAUGUGAGUGCUCCUGGAUAUUCAGUGAUAAUCAAACCCCCGAUGGACUGUGCGACACAGAGAGACGAGAUCCUGCCUGAGCACAAGUCAGUCACAGCAUUCAAGAGGUUGGAGAGAACACCUGGUUGCUUUUCCUGUCCGUGUUCACCGUGUGGGCAAACACCGCUGUGGUCGUGUUCCUUGGGAUGGGCGUGCUGCUGCUCAGCUUUGUCAUCAUGCUGAUGCUGGUGCAGCUGAUUUUCUUUCACAUAUAUCUGAGCUCUGAGUUUCCAGGACAGAGAAUCCAGUGAGCCCAGUGCAGAAGACAGUGACACGGAUGAGAGGCUAGCUUCAGACAAUGAGAAUGCCAUGCCAGCAUCUUCGAGGCCAAAGACCACCACCAUCACCACCACCACCAGCACCAUCCAGGUCCUGCACGAGGUGCUGGCCUCAGAAAACCCCUCGCCAUGCUUCUCACAGAGCACUGUCCGUAUCGCGUGGUCCCUGGAGUCAACGAGCUUGCUGCCCUCCAUCAGCCACAUCCCAUCGGAGAAUGAGCAGGGGCCACAGCGGCCAAGCAUGGCAUAGUGUGGCUGGCAGCAGGGCACACCCAAAGCUGGCGUGGAGCUAACCCUUAUACAAAAGCUGUGCCCACUGAAAGAAGAGCAGGAGCUGAGCCCACCAGCCAGUGGCCAGGAGCUGAGCCUGCCACCAGCCAACGGCCAGGAGCUGAGCCUACCACCAGCCAACAGCCAGGAGCUGAGCCUGCCACCAGUCAAUGGCCAGGAGCUGAGCACCAGAUGUGAAAUCAGGAAGCUGAACCCACUGCCCAGCGGCCAGGAGCAUUGCCUACCACACAAUACUCAGGAGCUGAACUACCCACCAGAAGGCAGGGAGCUGAACCUCCUACCCAGUGCCCAGGAGCUGAGCCCACCAGCCAAUGGCCAGCAGCUGGGCACCCCACGGGAAGGUGGGGAGCUAAGCCCACCGUAGCACAACAGGAAGGCAUGCAUGCCAACCAGGCUGUGAAUCUAGCCAUGCAAUGUAUUUCUUUCGUUAUUUUGCACUAUUUUCUAAGCAUUCAGGGAGCAUUGAGUAUGUCCUCUCGGCAGCGUGAUGGGCAGUGUUGAUGUCGGGAAGGCACACACCCGACAGCAACAUCAGUUGUUGAUCAGAAGCUGCAAGGUGACCGCAGAACAGAACCUACAACUGGCCACACUAGAAACUCCAGAACACUCUUGGGACCCACUGGUAACCCUAAGCUCCUCCCCAACAACUGGACAUACAAUAGAUCUGAGCCCGAGGAGAAGGGGGAACCCAGGGCUCACUCCUUCCUGCUAUUAUCUAGUUCUCCCAUCCCCUGGGAGAGAGGAACCCAGGCUAACUCCUUUCUGCUCUCGUCCAGUUCUCCUACCUCCUGGGAAAGGGGAACCCAGGCUCACUCGUCCCUACUAUCAUCUAGUUCUCUCAACUACUGGGAGAGGGGGACCCAGGGUCAGUUCUUCCUACUGUCAUCUAAUUCUCCCACCUCCUAGGACAGGGGGACCCAGCUGACUCCUUCCUACUGACGUCUAGUUUUCCCACAAUCUGGGAGAGGGGGACUCAGGCUCACUGCUUCCUACUGUAGUCUUGUUUUCCCACCUCCUGGGAAGGGGGACCCAUGCUCACUCCUUCAACUGUCGUCUAGUUCUCUCACCUCCUGGGAGAGGGGGACCCAUGCUCACUCCUUCAACUGUCAUCUAGUUUUCCCACUGCUGGGAGAGGGGGACCCAUGCUCACUCCUUCCUACAGUCAUCUAGUUCUCUCACCUCCUGGGAGAGGGGGACCCAUGUUCACUCCUUCCUACUGUCGUCUAGUUCUCUCACCUCCUGGGAGAGGGGGACCCAUGCUCACUCCUUCCUACAGUCAUCUAGUUCUCUCACCUCCUGGGAAGGGGGACCCAUGCUCACUCCUUCAACUGUCGUCUAGUUCUCUCACCUCCUGGGAGAGGGGGACCCAUGCUCACUCCUUCCUACAGUCAUCUAGUUCUCUCACCUCCUGGGAGAGGGGGACCCAUGCUCACUCCUUCCUACAGUCAUCUAGUUCUCUCACCUCCUGGGAGAGGGGGACCCAUGCUCACUCCUUCCUACAGUCGUCUAGUUCUCUCACCUCCUGGGAGAGGGGGACCCAUGCUCACUCCUUCCUACAGUCAUCUAGUUCUCUCACCUCCUGGGAGAGGAGGACCCAGGCUGACUCCUUCCUACUGUCAUCCAGUUCUCCCACCUCCUGCAAAGAGGGGGACCCAGGCUCACUCCUUCCUGCUGUCAUCUAGUUCUCCCUCAAAAUGGGAGAGGGGAACCCAGGGUCACUCCUUCCUGCUGUCGUCUAGUUCUCCCACCUCCUGGGAGAGGGGGACCCAGGCUCACUCCUUCCUACUGUCAUCUAGUUCUCCCACUGCUGGGAGAAGGGACUCAGGCUGACUCCUUCCUACUGUCAUCCAGUUCUCCCACCUCCUGGGAGAGGGGGACACAGGCUCACUCCUUCCUACUGUUGUCUAGUUCUCCCUCAACCUGGGAGAGGGGGACCCAGGCUAACUCCAUUCUACUACGUCUACUUCUCCCACCCCCUGGGAGAGGGGGGCCCAGGCUCACUCCUCCCUACUGUUGACUAGUUC